rnacentral:rRNA from 1 species
GGUGCUGCAUGGCUGUCGUCAGCUCGUGUCGUGAGAUGUUGGGUUAAGUCCCGUAACCGAGCGCAACCCUUGUGUUUAGUUGCAAACAGGUCAAGCUGUGCACUCUAGACAGACUGCCGUGGACAACACGGAGGAAGGUGGGGAUGACGUCAAAUCAUCAUGCCCCUUAUGAUCUGGGCUACACACGUGCUACAAUGGCCGGUACAACGGGCAGCGAAGGAGCGAUCCGGAGCGAAUCCUAAAAAGCCGGUCCCAGUUCGGAUUGCAGGCUGAAGCUCGCCUACAUGAAGUUGGAGUUGCUAGUAAUCGCGAAUCAGAAUGUCGCGGUGAAUGCGUUCCCGGGUCUU